rnacentral:rRNA from 1 species
UGGGGAAUUUUCCGCAAUGGGGGCAACCCUGACGGAGCAACGCCGCGUGGGGGAGGAAGGUCUGUGGAUUGUAAACCCCUUUUCUCUGGGAAGAAGCUCUGACGGUACCAGAGGAAUCAGCAUCGGCUAACUCCGUGCCAGCAGCCGCGGUAAGACGGAGGAUGCAAGCGUUAUCCGGAAUUAUUGGGCGUAAAGCGUCCGUAGGCGGUUUAUCAAGUCUGCCGUUAAAGACUACAGCUUAACUGUGGAGCGGCGGUGGAAACUGAGGAACUUGAGUAUGGUAGGGGUAGAGGGAAUUCCCAGUGUAGCGGUGAAAUGCGUAGAUAUUGGGAAGAACACCAGUGGCGAAGGCGCUCUGCUGGGCCAUAACUGACGCUGAGGGACGAAAGCUAGGGGAGCGAAAGGGAUUAGAUACCCGCGUAGUCC